UGGGCGGCAGCCUACACAUGCAGUCGAGCGGUAGCACAGAGGAGCUUGCUCUUUGGGUGACGAGCGGCGGACGGGCGAGUAAUGUCUGGGAAACUGCCUGAUGGAGGGGGAUAACUACUGGAAACGGUAGCUAAUACCGCAUAACCUCGCAAGAGCAAAGAGGGGGACCUUCGGGCCUCUCGCCAUCAGAUGUGCCCAGAUGGGAUUAGCUAGUAGGUGAGGUAAUGGCUCACCUAGGCGACGAUCCCUAGCUGGUCUGAGAGGAUGACCAGCCACACUGGAACUGAGACACGGUCCAGACUCCUACGGGAGGCAGCAGUGGGGAAUAUUGCACAAUGGGCGCAAGCCUGAUGCAGCCAUGCCGCGUGUGUGAAGAAGGCCUUCGGGUUGUAAAGCACUUUCAGCGGGGAGGAAGGCGGUAAGGUUAAUAACCUUGUCGAUUGACGUUACCCGCAGAAGAAGCACCGGCUAACUCCGUGCCAGCAGCCGCGGUAAUACGGAGGGUGCAAGCGUUAAUCGGAAUGACUGGGCGUAAAGCGCACGCAGGCGGUCUGUUAAGUUGGAUGUGAAAUCCCCGGGCUUAACCUGGGAACUGCAUUCAAAACUGACAGGCUAGAGUCUUGUAGAGGGGGGUAGAAUUCCAGGUGUAGCGGUGAAAUGCGUAGAGAUCUGGAGGAAUACCGGUGGCGAAGGCGGCCCCCUGGACAAAGACUGACGCUCAGGUGCGAAAGCGUGGGGAGCAAACAGGAUUAGAUACCCUGGUAGUCCACGCUGUAAACGAUGUCGAUUUGGAGGUUGUGCCCUUGAGGCGUGGCUUCCGGAGCUAACGCGUUAAAUCGACCGCCUGGGGAGUACGGCCGCAAGGUUAAAACUCAAAUGAAUUGACGGGGGCCCGCACAAGCGGUGGAGCAUGUGGUUUAAUUCGAUGCAACGCGAAGAACCUUACCUACUCUUGACAUCCAGAGAACUUAGCAGAGAUGCUUUGGUGCCUUCGGGAACUCUGAGACAGGUGCUGCAUGGCUGUCGUCAGCUCGUGUUGUGAAAUGUUGGGUUAAGUCCCGCAACGAGCGCAACCCUUAUCCUUUGUUGCCAGCGAUUCGGUCGGGAACUCAAAGGAGACUGCCGGUGAUAAACCGGAGGAAGGUGGGGAUGACGUCAAGUCAUCAUGGCCCUUACGAGUAGGGCUACACACGUGCUACAAUGGCGUAUACAAAGAGAAGCGACCUCGCGAGAGCAAGCGGACCUCAUAAAGUACGUCGUAGUCCGGAUUGGAGUCUGCAACUCGACUCCAUGAAGUCGGAAUCGCUAGUAAUCGUAGAUCAGAAUGCUACGGUGAAUACGUUCCCGGGCCUUGUACACACCGCCCGUCACACCAUGGGAGUGGGUUGCAAAAGAAGUAGGUAGCUUAACCUUCGGGAGGGCGCUAC
rnacentral:rRNA from 1 species